UUUUUACAUUAAGCUCAAAUGGCGCUCGUGUCUUUUCCAUGUUGAACACACAUUGGCCUUCUCCGUUCGCAGCCGAAAAUACGGAAAUACCGGUGGUGUGUACAAACCAGGCCAACUCAGAGAGCUCCCGGUGGAUUGCAAGGCCGAGGUCACCUCAGUCGCGGCACGGAUCCCGUAUCUGCACGGUAAUCCGCAGAGAACUUUUUGUCGCGUCAAACUCAGAAGCAAGGCCGAAAAAUCGGAGUGUUCCAGCAUUCCGCGUUUUUGCCGCUGAGAAGAGGGUACGGCAAUGGAACAACUCCCGGACGAACGGCAGAACAGCGGUAAAGCUUUCGUUGCAGUGCCGAGUUCACGGCACCGGCGGCGCAAAGCACGAAACCAGGUUCGCCGAGAAAAAGCUGCCUUUCUACCCCUACGAAGGGUAUCGAAAGACACGGGCGGUCAUCUCAUAUGGACCUCGCCUGUCAAGAAUCGUCCGGGGCUCCGCUACGGUAGGCUUAGCUCCAUUAUUUACGGUUCUGUUUUGCUGUCACUUUACUAGCCAACUCCAGUGUGUUAGAGCCGCCUGAGAAAAAUUCCCUCUCAAUAUCUACAUCUGUAUAUAAGCAGUGCGAAAGGUGAUACGACAUGUAGCUUGUGCGCACAUGUAGAAACGUGUGUUUGCGUACACCAAUCCGUCAGUGUCUGGGUGAGGGGAGACAGUCGACAAUCCAAGGAGUUUUUGUGCCUCGGCCUGUGGAGAGAACGCCGUCGCCCGGAGAGCGGGUUACGUUUGCACGAGAGGCGGCGUUUUUUCCGGUUUCCAGUGGUUCGACGCUGCAGCCUCCUUUAUCGAGAGUACGAUGCUGCAGCCUCCUUUAUCGAGAGUACGAUGCUGCAGCCUCCUUUAUCGAGAGUACGAUGCUGCAGCCUCCUUUAUCGAGAGUACGAUGCUGCAGCCUCCUUUAUCGAGAGUACGAUGCUGCAGCCUCCUUUCUCUAGGGUACGGUAGGAUGCGUGUGCAUUUAGUGACCUAUAUAAAGAAGAGAGAGACUGUUGUCUCCUUGAGAUCUCGUGACUCUUUUCGACUGCUAGACCGUGGACAGGGCGCGGAGCUGGCGCAGGCCGUAGAGAGGGGUGUGACGAUGGAGGCGAUUGGAAUAUGCUGCUUGAGUAAUACGUUGUUACACCAAAUAAAGAGGUAGAGCAACACUUACGUGCACCGAGUUCCAAGCCUGUUCUUGAUUCCUACCUCCCAGAACAACACUAUUCCAAAAAGCUCUAAGACUGCUCAACUUUGACACACAUUUCCCACUAGGUUUGCGGCCUUGCCUUUACGAGUUGUCAAAUGAAGUAGAUGUCGUGUAGGUUAUCUGGCGUGUGUCGUAGCGGGUGACGACGUGGUGGGGCCGAUGGAAAAAGCUAAUUCAUGAGCAGGCCGCAGGAGAUCGCCUCUCCUUUCCGCGACACUGCUACUCGAGUCAGAUUAAACGCGUUGUGGGUGAUGACGUGGAGUGACUUUUCAAGCCUUGUGGGCGAGGAAAGCACAGGGACUGUCAGGGUCCUUCUGUAGGCCUUGUAUCUUCACGAAACGGUGUUCUACAGUCAGUGAACGUUUUUCAGUUACGUGCUGCACGCUCCUACGAACGCUAUCGGGAGAGACGCACAUCAGGGUGUUUAAUUAUUCAGUUUCUCGCGUCGCAGCAAGACGAAUACCGAACGCUCGCUGCUACGGAAACGUAGGUCCUGGAAUAGUAGGGGCGCGCGUCAAGGCCUCAUCCGUUGUGUAGCCUGUAGUUUUAACCCGAGUGGGAUCUCAUAUGGUCUCUUAAAUGUCUCACUCUAUUCUGCGCCAGCAGGGACAAUUAGCGUGUCAGGUGCAUAACUACAUAAUAUAUAUAGGUAUAUAUAUGUAUAAAUAUGAAGCCCAAACGUGCAAUGGGCCACUCGAGAGCGGGCAUUCCCGAGCGGAAGAGUUCGUUUCUCCAGACCUUGUUAGAUCAUGCAUUCUUUGUGGUCUGUCUUUUUGAAAUCUGUCGUCCACCCAUAAACGUUUGCGCUUGAUCGAGCAAGUGCAGGCCUGCACGUGAGAAACGACGGCC
rnacentral:lncRNA from 1 species